UACGAAGGGGGCUAGCGUCGUUCGGAAUUAUUGGGCUUAAAGGGUGCGUAGGCGGCGCUUUAAGUCGGGUGUGAAAUCCUUCGGCUCAACCGAAGAAUUGCGCCCGAUACUGGAGUGCUAGAGGGAGACAGGGGUGAGCGGAACUGAUGGUGGAGCGGUGAAAUGCGUUGAUAUCAUCAGGAACACCGGUGGCGAAAGCGGCUCACUGGGUCUCUUCUGACGCUGAGGCACGAAUGCCAGGGUAGCGAACGGG
rnacentral:rRNA from 1 species